GACGAACGCUGGCGGCGUGCUUAACACAUGCAAGUCGAACGGUAAGGCCCUUCGGGGUACACGAGUGGCGAACGGGUGAGUAACACGUGGGUGAUCUGCCCUGCACUUCGGGAUAAGCCUGGGAAACUGGGUCUAAUACCGGAUAGGACCCUGGGAUGCAUGUCCUGGGGUGGAAAGCUUUUGCGGUGUGGGAUGGGCCCGCGGCCUAUCAGCUUGUUGGUGGGGUGAGGGCCUACCAAGGCGACGACGGGUAGCCGGCCUGGGAGGGGGACCGGCCACACGGGGACUGAGAUACGGCCCAGACGCCUACGGGAGGCAGCAGUGGGGAAUAUUGCACAAUGGGCGCAAGCCUGAGACAGCGACGCCGCGUGAGGGAUGACGUCCUUCGGGUUGUAAACCUCUUUCAGCACCGACGAAGCGCAAGUGACGGUAGGUGCAGAAGAAGGACCGGCCAACUACGUGCCAGCCGCCGCAGUAA
rnacentral:rRNA from 1 species